CAUCUCAACCUAAAGCAAACUUUUACAUUUUUCAAGGCUCAGGGAAGGUAGCAACUCCUCUGUAAAGACUUCUUGGAUCCCGCAGGUGAAAUCUAGGUGAAUUUCAUUUUCAUUUUUUUCCUGUUUUGUUUUAUUUUAAGCAGGCCAUUAGACUAUUAGAUAAGGGGAAUAUUGUAGACAUAAUUUUCUUGUUUUUUUUUUUAGCAAAUCAUAUGAAGCCUCUCAAGAAAUUCUUAUGACUAAGAUGAAUGAGUGAGUAAAAGAAAAAAAAAAAUUUAAGUGCUUAUAUGUGCCAAGUACUUUGCUUUCUGGAGGGCGGGGGAGGGGGAAGGAAAAAUCAAGAUAGACCCUAUUCUCAAAGAGAUUAUAUAUAAAAUAUAUUUUUACUGACAAGGUGGUUCUCAAGUUCUGUUAGUUGAAAGGGCGAAGCUGUAACCACACAGUAAGUAAAACCCAGGAAUCCUUAGUUUAGAGAUCAGUAACACAUUUAUUAAGCACCUACUAUCUUCUAGGCAUAGUACCAAAUGUUAUGCAUACAAAGAAAGGUGAGGCACAGUUCCUGUUCCCUUCUCAAUAGGUCAGAUGCCGAUGCCUGGGGUUUUGAAGAAGUGGCAGGGGGUGGGGAGAGGGAGACCCUACUUAUAAGAAUGGAAAUGUAUUGGAUUCAGUUAUAACUACAUUAACUAUAUGAGUUAGCUAGUUACAGGAAGCCUUAAACAUGGUGUUAAAUGUACCAUCUGGAAUCCUGUAAAAUGAACUUUUACCUGAUGGUUACUGGCAAUUUAUUACUAAACACAAGAGAGAUGUGUGAGCUAUUUUGGACUCAAAUAGGACAUUAUCCUUGCAACAAGACCAAUCUUCACUAAGAAACAUAUCCCUUUAGCAGUAAAAACAGACCACAAAAAAUCACUGUAAAGAUUCUAUAGUAUCAUGGAUUUGUGUUUAUGCACCAAUAUACUUUUUUAUUCCCUCUGUUACUCUCUCCCUGAAACUUCUUUCUUUGAGAAAGUCUUCAAGUAAUAGUUUACCUCAACCUGUGUCCUUUCCUAACCUCUCAAUCAUUUUUACUUGGAGGAAUCUAAAUUUAAUCUUUACCUAGCACAGUCAAUGAAGAAUUAUCAAACCUUUACUUUGUACUAGGCCAUGUAGAUUGAUAUCAUUGUUUACUAUUAGGAUAAAAUACUAAUUUGGGGUUUGCUCUGUUAUGCCAUUUGUCUCUAAUGUCAUAAGCACAAGUUUACUACAGACUAAUAAAUUACUCAUUUAAUUUAAAUGUGACA
rnacentral:lncRNA from 1 species